CCUACGGGGGGCAGCAGUGAGGAAUAUUGGUCAAUGGCCGCAGGGCUGAACCAGCCAAGUCGCGUGAGGGAUGACGGUCCUAUGGAUUGUAAACCUCUUUUGUCAGGGAGCAAAGGGCGCCACGUGUGGCGCUUUGCGAGUACCUGAAGAAAAAGCAUCGGCUAACUCCGUGCCAGCAGCCGCGGUAAUACGGAGGAUGCGAGCGUUAUCCGGAUUUAUUGGGUUUAAAGGGUGCGCAGGCGGAAUGGCAAGUCAGCGGUAAAAUUUCGGGGCUCAACCCCGUCGUGCCGUUGAAACUGGCGUUCUUGAGUGAGCGAGAAGUAUGCGGAAUGCGUGGUGUAGCGGUGAAAUGCAUAGAUAUCACGCAGAACUCCGAUUGCGAAGGCAGCAUACCGGCGCUCAACUGACGCUCAUGCACGAAAGCGUGGGUAUCGAACAGGAUUAGAUACCCCAGUAGUC
rnacentral:rRNA from 1 species